CCUACGGGUGGCAGCAGUGAGGAAUAUUGGUCAAUGGACGAGAGUCUGAACCAGCCAAGUAGCGUGAAGGAUGACUGCCCUAUGGGUUGUAAACUUCUUUUAUAUGGGAAUAAAAUGUUCCACGUGUGGGAUUUUGUAUGUACCAUAUGAAUAAGGAUCGGCUAACUCCGUGCCAGCAGCCGCGGUAAUACGGAGGAUCCGAGCGUUAUCCGGAUUUAUUGGGUUUAAAGGGAGCGUAGGUGGAUUGUUAAGUCAGUUGUGAAAGUUUGCGGCUCAACCGUAAAAUUGCAGUUGAGACUGGCAGUCUUGAGUACAGUAGAGGUGGGCGGAAUUCGUGGUGUAGCGGUGAAAUGCUUAGAUAUCACGAAGAACUCCGAUUGCGAAGGCAGUUCACUAGACUGCAACUGACACUGAGGCUCGAAAGUGUGGGUAUCAAACAGGAUUAGAUACCCUAGUAGUC
rnacentral:rRNA from 1 species